GAAGGGGAGAGNGGAAUUCCAUGUGUAGCGGUGAAAUGCGUAGAUAUAUGGAGGAACACCGGUGGCGAAAGCGGCUCUCUGGUCUGUCACUGACGCUGAGGCUCGAAAGCGUGGGUAGCGAACAGGAUUAGAUACCCUGGUAGUNCACGCCGUAAACGCUGAGUGCUAGGUGUUAGGUCCUUUCCGGGACUUAGUGCCGACGCUAACGCAUUAAGCACUCCGCCUGGGGAGUACGACCGCAAGGUUGAAACUCAAAGGAAUUGACGGGGGCCCGCACAAGCGGUGGAGCAUGUGGUUUAAUUCGAAGCAACGCGAAGAACCUUACCAGGUCUUGACAUCCCGAUGCCCGCUCUAGAGAUAGAGUUUUACUUUUUGUACAUCGGAGACAGGUGGUGCAUGGUUGUCGUCAGCUCGUGUCGUGAGAUGUUGGGUUNNNNNNNNNNNNCGAGCGCAACCCUUAUUGUUAGUUGCCAUCAUUAAGUUGGGCACUCUAGCGAGACUGCCGGUAAUAAACCGGAGGAAGGUGGGGAUGACGUCAAAUCAUCAUGCCCCUAUGACCUGGGCUACACACGUGCUACAAUGGUUGGUACAACGAGUCGCAAGCCGGUGACGGCAAGCUAAUCUCUGAAAGCCAAUCUCAGUUCGGAUUGUAGGCUGCAACUCGCCUACAUGAAGUCGGAAUCGCUAGUAAUCGCGGAUCAGCACGCCGCGGUGAAUACGUUCCCGGGCCUU
rnacentral:rRNA from 1 species